rnacentral:tRNA from 1 species
GGUGCGGUACCCAAGUGGUAAGGGAGCAGUCUGCAAAACUGUUUUUCGCCGGUUCGAUUCCGGCCCGCACCU